GGGACAUGGCAGUGUGCUGGUAGCAUCAGAUGCUAGGGGAGGAUCUAGACAUCGGCUUCUACGCAGAGGACGCGUACGCGGCGUACGUGACAGACCUUGCGACAUCUUUGCACCUCGUUCCGCACUUUCGCAGUGCCCGCGGUGCAACGCUGGAGGUGGUCUUUACCGGUCCCUUCCGGGACUUGUCUGCGUAUGAGGAGGCGGUCAAGCAGGGGAAGCUCGUCCCUUACGCCGAGUUGCCAUGGCCCGUCGCCGAGGAUCGGGGUGUUCAAGGGGUUUCCGGACCGACUCUUAGCGUCACCCUGCACGGCUGGAUCGAGAAGCUGAAUGCCGCUCGCAAAGUGCAACUGAUGGAGCCACUCUUUCCGGCUGCCGAGCUCGGCGCGACCAUCGCAGAGACACGUGUAAUGAGCGAUGCUGGCAACUCAGCACCGUGCGCGUUUGCCUCGACUUCGCCGCCAUGUGCGGCGGAGUCCGCAGGCACCUCAAACGAGAACGACACUCAUCCCCCACUUAAGCUGUCACGCUUCCGCAUUGCCGGCAGCCUGGAUUUCCUCCUGCACCUCUCCAGCCGCGACUUGCCCAUGGGCGAGAGCAGCGUCCCGGUCGACUCUCCAAGCGCGGAUGGACGUGAUCAAGCGAACCCCGAUUUCGCAGGCGACGCUGAAGACGCAACGCGCGCGGCUCACGAGUGUCGUGAUGCACUCGAGCAGCGCGAUGACGUUGCCCUAGCCCGUAACGCGGUGAACACGGUAAUCAAAAUUGCGCAGAUGGCGGAGGAGCACCCUGGUGAGGUAGGCAACGUCUUUGCCGAUGCGAAGGAGCGUGUCGAGUACAUCCAGUUUAGCGCACAAUAGCCCUCACUUGCUUGUACUUCUCUUUCUGUUCUUCCCACACAAGUGAGGUCGGUGCGUUGCGUCUUCUUUCAGCUACGGUGGUGGUGGUGGUGGUGUGGGCGGUUGCCUGUAUCAAGCGCGGGCGAGUGAGUUACGGCGCGUGCCGCACAUCGCCACCGUCACAUCUCGAGUACACCAGACAAUAAGCGGAGGGGGAAAACAGCACACAUGAAUCAUCGCCAACGGAGACGCCGUGCGCCUCUUGUUGGACGCCUUCGUUCAUUAUUAUCACUUUUUCGUCUGCAUCUGACCGCAAGGUUCCCCGGCGUUCCCUAAGGCGGCACCGCUACGGAGCUGUUUCUAGGUGAUGCCUGUCAGGUGGCCUACCAUCCGUCAGCGAUCCCGGUGGACUUUCAUUUGCAUCUGGAAGACUACUAAGGCAGCGGAGGGGGCGGAGGACUCGGCGACGCCAAACGCGUUAUGAAGAGAUGAAAGGCGUUGUCAGUCACGUAUCGCCUUUGCAAUGAAAGGCAUAUGCCAUCCUUGACAAACUCUUCUUCCACCGUCCCACCUCUCCUCCGUUUGCUCCCCCCUCUCCCCUUAUCGUCUUUGUGUGUGUCUUCGCCGCCUUCUCAUUGGCCCGUCUUCCUCUCGUGGUGUGUGUCCAUGCCCCUUGUCGAUCUACUCAUCGACACGCCGGGCGCUGCCGAGACACCUUACCUCCCUUCAUCCCACUCACACACCUUUUCCAUUUGUGGUUCGCCGCUCCUUGCCCUCCACCCCCCCGUUGCGCGUUCCUUUUAUAUAUAAUGCGCGUCGACUAG
rnacentral:misc_RNA from 1 species